AGAAGUUUAGGUUAAACUAGACCAAGAGCCUUCAAAGCUCUAAGUAAGUCCUAAUAGACUUAACUUCUG
rnacentral:tRNA from 1 species